rnacentral:rRNA from 1 species
CAAGUGACUAAGAGCAUGUG